rnacentral:rRNA from 1 species
UACGGAGGGUGCAAGCGUUAUCCGGAUUUACUGGGCUUAAAGGGUGUGUAGGCGGGCUAUUAAGUCUGGGGUGAAAUCUCCGAGCUCAACUCGGAAACUGCCUUGGAUACUAUUAGUCUUGAAUUAUGUUGAGGUUGGCGGAAUAUAACAUGUAGCGGUGAAAUGCAUAGAUAUGUUAUAGAACACCGAUUGCGAGGGCAGCUAACUAAGCAUAUAUUGACGCUGAGGCACGAAAGCGUGGGGAUCAAACAGG